AGGUAAUAUGUCCAUGUAGGUAGAUGUUUUUGAACCUUGUGGUUUAGUUGGACACAUAAAACCCUUUGAGAUGAAUCAUCUCUUCUUUCCACUGCUUUUUUAACUCAAUGUGAGAAGAAAACAGAGUCAUUAUGAUGAUGUCAUUUAAUGUGACUCUGACUCCCACCACAGGCAGCAGUCUGUCUGUAAGUGUAACUCAUGGUUCAUUCAUGUGUCUGUUUAAUGUGCUCAUGAUUUGAGUUGAUGAUCGGGCACAAAGUGGCGUGGGGUGUCCGGUGACCAUGAGGUGAUGCUCUGUAGACAAUUCCUGUUCCUGUUGUCAGCGAGGUCCUCUUCCUGCUGUCAGCGAGGUCCUCUUCCUGCUCAGCAAGGUCCUCUUCCUGCUCAGCAAGGUCCUCUUCCUGCUCAGCAAGGUCCUCUUCCUGUUGUCAGUGAGGUCCUCUUCCUGCUCAGCAAGGUCCUCUUCCUGCUGUCAGCGAGGUCCUCUUCCUGCUCAGCAAGGUCCUCUUCCUGCUCAGCAAGGUCCUCUUCCUGUUGUCAGCGAGGUCCUCUUCCUGAUGUCAGUGAGGUCCUCUUCCUGCUGUCGGCAAGUUCCUCUUCCUGCUGUCAGCAAGUUCCUGUUCAUGCUGUCAGUGAGGUCCACUUCCUGCUGUCAGCGAGCUCCACUUCCUUCUGUCAGCGAGGUCCUCUUCCUUCUGUCAGCAAGGUCCUGUUCAUGCUGUCAGUGAGGUCCACUUCCUGCUGUCAACGAGCUCCACUUCCUUCUGUCAGCGAGGUCCUCUUCCUUCUGUCAGCGAGGUCCACUUCCUGCUGUCAGCGAGGUCCUCUUCCUUCUGUCAGCGAGAUCCACUUCCUGCUGUCAGCGAGGUCCUCUUCCUGCUGUCAGCGAGGUCCUCUUCCUGCUGUCAGCAAGGUCCUGUUCCUGCUGUCAGCGAGGUCCUCUUCCUGGUGUCAGUGAGGUCCACUUCCUGCUGUCAGCGAGGUCCACUUCCUGCUGUCAGCGAGGUCCUCUUCCUGCUGUCAGUGAGGUCCUCUUCCGGCUGUCAGCAAGUUCCUCUUCCUGGUGUCAGUGAGGUCCUCUUCCUUCUGUCAGCGAGGUCCACUUCCUGCUGUCAGCGAGGUCCUCUUCCUGCUGUCAGCGAGGUCCUCUUCCUGCUGUCAGUGAGGUCCUCUUCCUGCUGUCAGUGAGGUCCUCAUCCUGCUGUCAGCGAGGUCCUCUUCCUGUUCCUGCAAAGUGGUGAAAGAAAGAAAAACAGGGCAUGUCUUUUGCUCACUCCCCCCCCCCCCAUCUCCAUCCUCCCCCCAGUCUGUGUGACCUUGCACCAGUCUCUGUGACCUUGGAGAGCGAGCGACUGUAGUACCGUUAAGCAUUCUGGGACAUAGCAAACCAGACAGUCAUAUUGAGGGCACAGAGAUGGAGAGAUAGAGGUUUGGGGGAAGACUGGAGAAAGAAGGGAGGCGCAAACAGGCAACGUAUGUGCUGUGUGUGUCGUCCUGUCUAUGUAUGUGUUGAAGGGAUACUGUCAAAUGAAAUAUACAGUAAUAGAAUGAAAUGCAGGGAGUGGCGAACUCGUGAUACGAGUGGUCUUUGAGAUGAAGAAAUCAAUAGCUCUGAAGGAGAUCUGUGUCUAGGCAUGAUAGUGUCUUAAUAAGGGUUAAUAUCUCAUUGGCUCUCACUAACGUUCUAUAUGGGAACAGGCUGACUACCUCAGCUCACGGAAAUCAUGGCAACCACCAGAGAAUCUGAAACACACUUUAUUGACUUGGAUUAGUAAUCAAAUUGAAAAGUGUUCAAUUGCAAAUAGCAUGUGUAAGGUAAGGGAUUUAGGAUAUAUUUUUUUUGUUCAGGUUUGUGUGCCAGUGACUGUGGAACACAAAGUAGCUUGGUUGAGCUACUUUGUGUUAAUUGCCUAUUUGAAAAUGUAUCCAUCUCACAAAAAAGGUUUAAGUGUGCAGUAAGAAAGUGUUGAUAUCAGCUAUAAAUAAACACUUCUUAACAUCAACACACUCUGAAGCUCAAAUGACAUUUAGCUCCAUGUUAAAACAACAUCCACCUCCAUAAUAAAACAACAACCACCUCCAUAUUAAAACAACAUCCACCUCCAUAUUAAAACAACAUCCACCUCCAUAAUAAAACAACAACCACCUCCAUAAUAAAACAACAACCACCUCCAUAUUAAAACAACAACCACCUCCAUAUUAAAACAACAUCCACCUCCAUAUUAAAACAACAACCACCUCCAUAAUAAAACAACAACCACCUCCAUAAUAAAACAACAUCCACCUCCAUAUUAAAACAACAUCCACCUCCAUAAUAAAACAACAUCCACCUCCAUAAUAAAACAACAACCACCUCCAUAUUAAAACAACAACCACCUCCAUAAUAAAACAACAUCCACCUCCAUAAUAAAACAACAUCCACCUCCAUAUUAAAACAACAUCCACCUCCAUAAUAAAACAACAACCACCUCCAUAUUAAAACAACAUCCACCUCCAUAAUAAAACAACAACCACCUCCAUAUUAAAACAACAUCCACCUCCAUAAUAAAACAACAUCCACCUCCAUAUUAAAACAACAUCCACCUCCAUAAUAAAACAACAUCCACCUCCAUAAUAAAACAACAACCACCUCCAUAUUAAAACAACAUCCACCUCCAUAAUAAAACAACAACCACCUCCAUAUUAAAACAACAACCACCUCCAUAUUAAAACAACAUCCACCUCCAUAAUAAAACAACAUCCACCUCCAUAAUAAAACAACAACCACCUCCAUAUUAAAACAACAACCACCUCCAUAAUAAAACAACAACCACCUCCAUAUUAAAACAACAUCCACCUCCAUAAUAAAACAACAACCACCUCCAUAUUAAAACAACAUCCACCUCCAUAAUAAAACAACAACCACCUCCAUAUUAAAACAACAUCCACCUCCAUAUUAAAACAACAUCCACCUCCAUAUUAAAACAACAUCCACCUCCAUAUUAAAACAACAUCCACCUCCAUAAUAAACAACAACCACCUCCAUAUUAAAACAACAUCCACCUCCAUAUUAAAACAACAUCCACCUCCAUAAUAAAACAACAACCACCUCCAUAAUAAAACAACAACUACCUCCAUAUUAAAACAACAUCCACCUCCAUAUUAAAACAACAUCCACCUCCAUAUUAAAACAACAACCACCUCCAUAAUAAAACAACAACCACCUCCAUAUU